AUACGUAUGUCGCAAGCGUUAUCCGGAUUUAUUGGGCGUAAAGCGCGUCUAGGCGGCUUAGUAAGUCUGAUGUGAAAAUGCGGGGCUCAACCCCGUAUUGCGUUGGAAACUGCUAAACUAGAGUACUGGAGAGGUAGGCGGAACUACAAGUGUAGAGGUGAAAUUCGUAGAUAUUUGUAGGAAUGCCGAUGGGGAAGCCAGCCUACUGGACAGAUACUGACGCUAAAGCGCGAAAGCGUGGGUAGCAAACAGGAUUAGAUCCCCUGGUAGUCCACGCCGUAAACGAUGAUUACUAGGUGUUGGGGGUCGAACCUCAGCGCCCAAGCUAACGCGAUAAGUAAUCCGCCUGGGGAGUACGUACGCAAGUAUGAAACUCAAAGGAAUUGACGGGG
rnacentral:rRNA from 1 species